GACGAACGCUGGCGGCGUGCCUAAUACAUGCAAGUCGAGCGGACCCUUCGGGGUUAGCGGCGGACGGGUGAGUAACACGUAGGUAACCUGCCUGUAAGAUCGGGAUAACUACCGGAAACGGUAGCUAAGACCGGAUAACUGGUUUCCUCGCAUGAGGGAAUUAUGAAACACGGAGCAAUCUGUGGCUUACAGAUGGACCUGCGGCGCAUUAGCUAGUUGGUGGGGUAACGGCUCACCAAGGCGACGAUGCGUAGCCGACCUGGGAGGGUGAUCGGCCACACUGGGACUGAGACACGGCCCAGAAUCCUACGGGAGGCAGCAGUAGGGAAUCUUCCGCAAUGGACGCAAGUCUGACGGAGCAACGCCGCGUGAGUGAUGAAGGUUUUCGGAUCGUAAAGCUCUGUUGCCCUAGACGAACAGCAAGGGGAGUAACUGCCCUUUGUGUGACGGUAUAGGAGAAGAAAGCCCCGGCUAACUACGUGCCAGCCGCCGCGGUAAAAC
rnacentral:rRNA from 1 species